AAUGAUGUGCCUGAAAAAGGAUUAUAAUGAUAAAAUAAUAUAUAUUACUA
rnacentral:tRNA from 1 species